GGAAGUCGCUGUCGAUGACUAGUCGGACCUCACGAUGAGUGUGACAAACACAGACAGUAAACUGCAAUAAACAAUGGCAAACCAAGGGCUAAUGAGUCCAAGCAGCAAUGACAGCAGUCGCUGCGUUCAUGUUAGCACUGGUUUUGACGACUACCAAUGUACGGUGAUUCUCAUGGUGAAAAGGGCAACAGCUACAUUCUCUUUAGUGGGAUGUCUCUUCAUGCUGUUUGUGAUCUGGCUUUUCCGCAGAUACCACUCCUUGGCUCAGGUUGCGAGCUGCAGCCUACCCCCAGGAAGCAUUGCGACCGACCUUCGCCCUCUCAAAGGUCCGCCAGGAUGGGCGGAUGGGUGAUUGGAACAGCCUCUAGAGCUGCCUCUGGGUGACCUGUAGCAGAGGCUUGACUUGUGGCACGCUCCAAGGAGCUUGCGGAAUGCGACAGCGUAAUGGCUGUUUCAGGGCACUCCCUCGCAGAGAGGAAAUGACAGGAAUGCGGCCUGGCAGGAUUCUGUCAUCGCUAAACACCUCAGUUUGGGUUUGUGUGCCUCUGCAUACAUAUCAUUCCAAACCCCUCCUCUGUUCUGGAAAGAGCACACUAGAAAUGCUGCUAAGUGAAGUAUGGAAAAUAGGGCCAUUUGAAUUAAUAAGAUAGCAGAAUUAUAUUCCUAAUUGAUUCCUUUAUUUACAUUUGAGACUUGCUUUUUUAUUUAAGUUUAAUUGGAAACAUAGAAAUUCAGCGUAAUAUAAUCGCACCUGUGUCAGACUGCCUUAGCUUGGACUUCUUGAUGUUGUUAUGAGUUUAAUAAUACGUGAUAUUUUCUGCAUCGUUACAGUGCGGUCGCUCAGAGGAGCGUUUCUGCGGCUUGAUGCCUCGCAUGAAAAUUAAAGAGGGCUUUCUACAGCGACGGAUCGAAUGUGCGUCCUUGCGGCAAGUGCGUAAUUAAAAACCUGUGCCGCGCUGCUCGCCGCUGGGGUUCGGGAGGGGACUGGCAGGGCAAGAGUUAAAGGGCUCCGUGCGGUUUCUCAUCUUGCCGCGCUGAGCGGAUAAAUGGAACGCUCUGAUCAUUUUCAGCACGCAAGAGCUGGCGACUCGGCCCCCCCCC
rnacentral:lncRNA from 1 species